CAAAAACUGCUUUUACUACAGAGGAUCUUGGUGGACUUACCAUGACUAGGGAGAAGGUAUUAAGUAAACUGAUGGCCUUAAAGUUAGAUACUGAAAAACAAUGAGAGCAUUCUCAUUACCAUGAAGGCUCUCCCUUUCAGAAUGAUGGGCACAACUUCCAAAUGAGAUUUUUAAGCAGCACCUGGCAAAUACUUGGGAAAGUUUCAUGGUUUAGCAGAAAGAUCAGAAACAUAGGGCAAAGUGAAAACCUCAUUAAAACUGGUUUAGAAAUCAAAUCAUGUUGAAUAAAUGUCUUUAAUAGUGCA